UACGAAAGGGGCUAGCGUUGUUCGGAAUUACUGGGCGUAAAGCGCGCGUAGGCGGGCUAGCAAGUUGGGGGUGAAAUCCCGGGGCUCAACCUCGGAACUGCCUCCAAAACUGCUAGCCUAGAGGAUGUGAGAGGAUAGUGGAAUUCCGAGUGUAGAGGUGAAAUUCGUAGAGAUUCGGAAGAACACCAGUGGCGAAGGCGACUGUCUGGCGCAUUGCUGACGAUGAGGUGCGAAAGAGUGGGGAGCAAACAGG
rnacentral:rRNA from 1 species